rnacentral:misc_RNA from 1 species
GAUGAAGAACGUAGCAAAAUGCGAUAAGUAAUGUGAAUUGCAGAAUUCAGUGAAUCAUCGAAUCUUUGAACGCACAUUGCGCCCGCCAGUAUUCUGGCGGGCAUGCCUGUUCGAGCGUCAUUUCAACCCUCAAGCACAGCUUGGUGUUGGGACUCGCGUUAAUUCGCGUUUCCCAAAUUGAUUGGCGGUCACGUCGAGCUUCCAUAGCGUAGUAGUAAAACCCUCGUUACUGGUAAUCGUCGCGGCCACGCCGUUAAACCCCAACUUCUGAAUGUUGACCUCGGAUCAGGUAGGAAUACCCGCUGAACUUAAGCAUAUCAAUAAGCGGAGGA